AUUGAACGCUGGCGGCAUGCCUAACACAUGCAAGUCGAGCGGAGCGGCGCACGGGUGUGUAAUGCCUAUGAAUCUGCCUGCUCGUGGGGGAUAACGUCCGGAAACGGGCCCUAAUACCGCAUACUAUCAGAUGAGCCUAGGUCGGAUUAGCUAGGUGGUGGGGUAAAGGCCUACCAAGGCGACGAUCCGUAACUGGUCUGAGAGGAUGAUCAGUCACACGGGAACUGAGAAAGGGUCCAGAGUGCUACGGGAGGCAGCAGAGGGGAAGAUUGGACAAGGGGGGAAAGGCGGAUGCAGCGAUGCCGCGUGUGUGAAGAAGGUGUUCGGAUUGUAAAGCACUGUAAGUUGGGAGGCGGUACCAACAGAAUAAGCACCGGCUAACUACGUGCCAGCAGCCGCGGUAAUAC
rnacentral:rRNA from 1 species